AAGGAAGAAAAAAAGCAAGUGCAAAAAUGAAAACCAUGUGGAUGAGUUUGUUUCUUAUGACACUUUUGUUCGUGGCAAGUUUUCAAGAUACAAAUUUCAAAGAAAUUGG
rnacentral:lncRNA from 1 species